AGGUUUUCUUUUUAUCCAACUUCACUCUGAAAUGAGAAAAUGAGCACCCUGACAAGGAAGCCCACAGACCAACAGGGAUUCCGAGCCCAGAUCUCAUCAUAAUAAAGAAUGUUUAAUUGUUAGCUAAAGGUUCAGUCCGUGAGCAGGAACACCAAGGUUUUGAUACAAAGGUAGCUCCCUGGCUCCUUACUGCCCAAUUUUUGAAUAGCCUCAGAAAAGUAGCCUGAUAAUUACUUGUCACCGACUUUUAAUGAUCUGGUCUCAUUCUAAUGGCGCAACCCCAAACUCUCAGGCCAGACCGGCAAUUCUCACCUCUCUAUUUUCUUUUAAGUAUCAAAACAAGGGCUGACGAGAUGGAAACGCUCCUGGAAUCCUGACAGGGAGUUUGUUUCAUCAGCGUCUCAGAGGAGGCAGUUAAACGAGGCCUGGCCCACCUACCUUGGAGCGAGCCUAAACACCCUAAACACACCUGCACCGGGUGAGCGAUACAAUUUCAAAUGUUCAUAUGAUGCUCUCAGGAGACUCCAUGCUCCAACUCCUUUCUUUUUCCCAGAGACGCCCUAGAUCAGGGGCCAAAGGAUACUGAAGCAUUCCUUCCUUCCUUUCCAUAUCCGCCCUUCUUUUCUCCAACCUAGUCAGCAAGCAAUUUAGCUGCUUAGUUAAUGCAGAAAAGAUACAUAUAUAUUUCAUUUCUGGGACUGUUUUUGCAGAACCUGUUACAUUGUAUAGCUUCAGCAAAGCGCUGGAUCUUUAGAUCAAUAUUCAUUCAUGCCCAGUGCUCUUUACUAUGGGUCUUCCCAGAUCCCAGGGUAUUUUAAUGAUCAUUAAUCAAUUUACUCUCCUUUUUUUUUUUUUUUUCUCCUCUCAAACACUUCCACAUCUGAGUUUGUCUGAUGACUCAUAAGGGCACCGUACCAAAGAUUAAGGAUUAAGUUUAAUAACUGUAAAUUUCAGAGAACUGAUUUUCAAGUGUGAUAAAAGUUGAAGCACUUUGGUGUUUACAAGAUACCAUACUUCUCUAAAUGUCACCUCCUAAGUUCUUCAAUCCCCUGUUCUGUUUUACAUGCGAGCAUUUCUCUGGCUGCUGAGCAUCUGGUCAGUAAUCGCCUUAACCUUACAAAGAAGUGGGUUCCGGCGGUGUUGGCCUCCCCUGCUCUCUGCAACGGUAACAGUGGAAAUAGGACCGGAAAAAUGAACAAUUCGCUUACGAGAAAGGAGAGAAACUUUACAGAACUGACUCUUAUUUGCUUGCCCCCCAAAAUAUAUUAUGGUAGUUAUAUUCUUUCUUUGACGGCUGGAUUUUGUUUAUGGUCAUCAA